rnacentral:rRNA from 1 species
UACGUAGGGGGCAAGCGUUAUCCGGAUUUACUGGGUGUAAAGGGAGCGUAGACGGCGAAGAAAGUCUGAAGUGAAAGCCCGCGGCUUAACCGCGGAACUGCUUUGGAAACUUUUUUGCUGGAGUACCGGAGAGGUAAGCGGAAUUCCUAGUGUAGCGGUGAAAUGCGUAGAUAUUAGGAGGAACACCAGUGGCGAAGGCGGCUUACUGGACUGUAACUGACGUUGAGGCUCGAAAGCGUGGGGGAGCAAACAGGG